rnacentral:rRNA from 1 species
UACGUAGGGUGCAAGCGUUAAUCGGAAUUACUGGGCGUAAAGCGUGCGCAGGCGGUUAUGGAAGACAGAUGUGAAAUCCCCGGGCUCAACCUGGGAACUGCAUUUGUGACUGCAUAGCUAGAGUACGGUAGAGGGGGAUGGAAUUCCGCGUGUAGCAGUGAAAUGCGUAGAUAUGCGGAGGAACACCGAUGGCGAAGGCAAUCCCCUGGACCUGUACUGACGCUCAUGCACGAAAGCGUGGGGAGCAAACAGG